rnacentral:rRNA from 1 species
ACGUAGGGGGCAAGCGUUGUCCGGAUUUACUGGGCGUAAAGAGCGCGUAGGCGGACGCUUAAGUGUGGCCUGAAAGCCCCCGGCUCAACCGGGGAGGGCGGCUGCAAACUGGGCGUCUUGAGGGGGAUAGAGGAAGGUGGAAUUCCUGGUGUAGCGGUGAAAUGCGUAGAUAUUGGGAGGAACACCAGUGGCGAAGGCGGCCACCUGGACCGGUUCUGACGCUGAUGCGCGAAAGCGUGGGUAGCAAACAGGA